AAUUCUAGUAGGAAAUUUUCACUAAUGCAAAGAAAGCUUGAGAGAAAUAAUUUAGAAUACACUUAAGUAUACUUUGUGAACAUAGAAGAAACUAUUUUAGGGUUUAAGUUCAAACUUCCGUCGAAAUCUUCGCUUAUUGUUCGCGUGCAAGUCUUCUCGUGGUAAAGUUUGACUCCUGCUCGCCCAGUCCCGGUCUUGCUUCCCUGAAGAA
rnacentral:misc_RNA from 1 species